rnacentral:lncRNA from 1 species
CCGCUCCGAGGGGCCCACCCGCGAGCAGCGGGGAAGGCGGGGACCCGGGCCCCGCGGGCCUGCAGCGCCCCCGCACCCGGUUCCACGCGCCCAGGGCCGCCCCCGCGGAGAGAGGGGGCGCGAGGGGCGCGCCUCUCGCUCGGACACCCUCUCCCAGCUCGCGCCCCAGGUAACUUAAACCCAAUUAUAAAUGGCUUUGGCUAUAAAGUGUUCUUGAAUGAAAACGUUUAGGAAGUAGGCCUGGAUUCAGAUGCUUCAGAGGCUCAAAGGUUUUCUAAUUGUUUAUGGAGAAGAUUGAUCUUCACAAGCUAGUUUUUUCAUAGGCAAAAGCAAAAGUCUCUUCCUGUGUUAUUAAGUGAAAAUGGCUGAUUAUAAAAAGGGGCUUACAAACAAUAUUUAACAAAUCUUCAUCAAGUCCCUACUCUGUGGCAGGCCCUGGGUCAGGAGGUUGCCGAUUCCAGGAAGAAUCAGACCUUAUCCCUGCCCUUGAGUCUCAAGAAGAGGAAAGGAAAACAAAUAAGCAUAGUACAGUGUGAAAAGUGGGACUGUGGUCAAAUUUCAGUCUGCAAACUCAGAAUGGAUGAAAUAUGAAAGACUGACAACAUCAAGUUGUCAAGUAGGACAGGAUGUGGAACCACUGGAACUCAUACGUGACUGAUGGGAAUGCAAAAUGAUACCGAUCCCUUGGAAAACUCCUUGGCAACUUUAAUAAACAUAAAUCUACCCUAUGAUCCAGAAAUUCCACUCUGAGUCACGUCUCCAAGAGCAAUGAAAAUAUAUACCCACAAAAGACUGCACAUAAAUCAGAACAGCAUUGUUGAUAAUAGCCCAAACUGGAAACAACCUAAAUAUUCACCAAUAGAAGCCUGAAUAAAUUCAUACUGUGGGAUACUCUACAGCAAUGAGAUCAUGAAAGAUAGUGUGGCUUCCACUUUGGUCUCUUAUAUCACCUACUGGGGGAAGCCAGCUGCCAUGUUGUGAGGACACUCAAGAAGCUCUGUGGAGAGGCUCUUUUGAAGGAGAACCAAUGCCUCCCACCAACAGCCAGCAUCAACUUGGGACAUGUGAGUGAACCAAUUGGAAGUGGAUCCUCCAGCCAAGUCAAGCCUUCAGAUGACUGAAGCCCCAGCCUCAUGAGAGAUAGCAGGCUAAAACUGCCCAGCUAAGCUGCUCCUGAAAUCCUGACCCCCCAAAUUAUAAAAGACAAUAAAUUAUUAUUGUUGUUUUAAGCCACUACAUGUUGGGGUGAUUCAUUAUGCAGCAACAGAUAAUAAAUACAUCACCCUUGUAUUCAUUACUGACGUUUAUUGGGAGCAUAGUGUGUGAUUUUUCAUUUAACCCUUCCAGUAAUGCUGUGAGAUAGGUAAGUUUAUUAUCCCCAUUUUACAGACAAAGAAACUGAGGUUCAGAAUGAGUGAAGUCUCUUCCCUGCAGAGUCCCUGACCUUAAGGAUUUUAUGGUCAGAUCUGAGAGACAGAAGCUCAAAAACCUAUGACUCUAGGCAAAAUAUGGCCCUGGGAUCCCAGGAUGGGGAGAGGAAUUUUGGAUUCUGGCUUCUACUUGGGCCUCAUAGCUUGGGAUGACAGAGGGUACACUCCAAAGGCAACAAACACCUUCCCUGCCCUUGAGCACCUGCUUAAUCAAGGGGAGAAAGUUCAGAUGCUUAUGCAUAAUGUGUGGUAUUUCUCUGCACAGAAACACACACGGGCCUGUACAGUAAUAAUGAAAAGCAACAACCCAUCUUAAGGGCUUGGCACUUUGCACUUACAAAGCCUUAUACAUCCCUAAUUCCAUGGAAUCACACCUGGCAGGUAAGCGUGGCCCUGUACACUUUACAGAUGGGGACACUGAGGUCAGGGAAGUUGUGUGAUUCUUGCAGAGCCAAGCAGCCUAGAAGUGGCAGAGUUCAGGUAAAACCCAGUAACUGGGUGUUUUACAAGUGCUAAGGGUAUGACAGGAGGUAGGCAGGGCUCCUCUGAGGGAGGUUUCAGGAAGAGGUCACCCGCGAGCAGGGUUCUGAGAAUGGGGAAGUGGCUUCGGGGAGAGGAUGGUGCCUGGGAGGGUUUGAGAGGAAACAGAGUGAGUCCCUAGGGGCUCCCAGGGUGUACGAGGGCAAAGAGGUGAACAUAGCUGGAGUGGAAAGAAUGAGAAAGCCUGGGUGUGUGGAAGAGCCUUGGUGUGUUAGGUGGAAUUGCAGCUGGAGGGUGUGUGCAGAAUGAGAGGUCUUGGUAUUGGGGCCAAAGUCAACUGCCACGCCUAAGGAGGGAGGAAGGCGCUUAUUUUGCUUCUUGGGUGAAAAUCAUUCCUGUGAUUUAGUUCUCCUUGGGGGAGGGGCGGGGUUUCAUCCAGCCUUAGCAAAUGCAUUCAAUCUUCACUACUUCUCUCUGUCAGAUGGGGUGGAUAGAGGUCCAAAUGUGGGCAGAAGCUUUUAUGUCCCAUCGCAGGGCAGCUAAGAACAGCUGCGCGGGUCGUUCACUGUACAUGGGCACUAGGCCAAAAGGGACUGAAAUCCGGACGGCCCUUUGUUUACUAAGCCAUGUGCCUGCAAGGCUGCACCUGCCCAGAAGGAAUGCUUCCUAUUUCUUUUCUUUAAAAAAAAAUUUUUUUUAUGAGCUAAAAUUCACAUAACAUAGAAUCUACCAUUUAAACCACUUUAAAGUAUAAAGUUCAGUGCUUUUAGUAUAGUCACAAUGUUGUGCAACCAUCACCACUAGCAGUUUUCGGAACAUUUCCAUCAUCCCAAAAAACAACUCCAUAACUCCUAAUUCCCCCCCUUUCCCCAUCUCUUGGCGACCAUGAAUCUGAACUUUCAUAUGAAUGGAGUUCUAUAAUUUGCUGUCUUCUGUGACUGUCUUCUUUCAUUUGGCAUUAAAACUUUUCAAGUUUUACCCAUGUUGUGGUAUGUGUCUGUACUUCAUUCCUUUUUAUGGCUCGAUAAUAUCGCAUUGUGUGAAUAUUCCACAAUUUGUGUAUCCCUUCAUGAGUUGAUGGACAUAUGGGUUAUAUCCACUGGCUGUUAAGAACAGGCGGGUCACGGUGGCUCACGCCUGAAAUCCCAGCACUUUGGGAGGCUGAGGUGGGCGGAUCACCUGAGGUCAGGAGUUCUAGAUCAGCUUUGCCAACACGGUGAAACCUUGUCUCUACCAAAUAUAUAAAAAUU